UGACAAGACGUUUCUCAUGAACCCGACUCUAACAUGGGAAGCCACCCCUAAGAGCACUAGCCGGAGUACUGCCCCCUAGGUCAUUAGGCAGCAUCUGUACCCGAAGUUUAACGACCCAGCGGCAGUCCAAACUGCAGGCUAGACCGGCGAGCAUCAAUCAAAUCAUGGCUGCAAGCCAACUCCAAUAGCAAUCAGAAACACCUCAACUAAACACAUGCAGCUCCC
rnacentral:lncRNA from 1 species